CUGGGACUGAGACACGGCCCACACUCCUACGGGAGGCAGCAGUGGGGAAUUUUGGACAAUGGGCGGAAGCCUGAUCCAGCAAUGCCGCGUGAGUGAAGAAGGCCUUCGGGUUGUAAAGCUCUUUCAGUCGAGAAGAAAAGGCUAUGCCAAAUAAGUAUAGUUAAUGACGGUAUCGAAAGAAGAAGCACCGGCUAACUACGUGCCAGCAGCCGCGGUAAUACGUAGGGUGCAAGCGUUAAUCGGAAUUACUGGGCGUAAAGGGUGCGCAGGCGGUACUGUAAGUCAGAUGUGAAAUCCCCGGGCUUAACCUGGGAAUUGCGUU
rnacentral:rRNA from 1 species